UACGGGGGGAGCAAGCGUUGUUCGGAUUUACUGGGCGUAAAGGGCGCGUAGGCGGCCAGCGCAAGUCAGUUGUGAAAUCUCCGGGCUUAACUCGGAACGGUCAACUGAUACUGCGCGGCUAGAGUGCAGAAGGGGCAACUGGAAUUCUCGGUGUAGCGGUGAAAUGCGUAGAUAUCGAGAGGAACACCUGCGGCGAAGGCGGGUUGCUGGGCUGACACUGACGCUGAUGCGCGAAAGCGUGGGGAGCAAACAGG
rnacentral:rRNA from 1 species